ACUCAUUUUGAUUUUUGUUCUUUCCAGGUGCAAUGUGCUUUGUUUCUGACUGCAGACUAUAAUGUUUAUUCCUAUUGGGGGCAGAGCAAGAUUUCAGUUUCUUUUCUCAGCAACAAGAAAAUACUCUGUCUGAAAUCAAGCAACUUCUGGGAAGACCAAGAGUGAUGGAAACUAGAGUUACAAAGCAAAAACCCUACAUCCUGAAUGCCCAGCCCGGUCAAUGAAAUUUUUCUGUCUCAUUUAUCAGCUAACUUGGUCCUCUUCCCCUGGGAACAAAACUGAGAAGGGUUAAGAGAUAAUGUGGAAACAAACUCCCCAGCACUUGCCUAAGAGGGCAGCUGUGUACCCAGACCUUCUUUCCUCUAUGUCAUUGUACUAGAAAGAGAGAGUUCCAUACUCUUUAAUCUGAAUAGUUGGCACUCACUUAAAAAAGAAUGCAGCCUGAUUCCUCUCUGCCCCUCUAGCUAUUUCCAGAAAGUUGUUCAUGGGAUGAAUUGAAAGCCAACAAAGGGAGUUGUUAGUACAUAUUUCCAGGAAUGAAGUUGUCUGGAUGCAGCUAAUGCCUCCAUAGAACUGACAGUGCUGAAUUUACGAAAUGGAAAGAGUUCUGGAAAAGCAAGAAAAAAAGUCUUGUUUGAAACCCCACGUCUACUGUAGGCACAGAAGGGAAUGGAGGCAUCUGAGCAUUUUAUUUUCCAUCUCUACAGCACCUCAGAACACCUACAUUUUAUUUUUUUUCUUCUCAGAAAUGUCUUAAUAAGAGGACUGCAGUGUACUCAAGUUUCCCAAUGACAGGGUAGGGAUGCCAACCUUCUCUUUCAUUGGCAGCUCAUAGUAUCCAAGUUUCUCAAAACCCUAAGCCAUCUUAUUUGUUCUUUGGAACUUUGUGGCCUACCACAGUGCAAUUCUCAUUCGGUGUUUAAUAAAAUAUUUGUUAGCUCUUUUCUAAUUGAGAAGGUUCUGUUCUUUUCGCCUCAAGAAAUCACUUAGAAUACAAAUAGCAGUGCACAAUAAUUAGAUUUCAUUGAAUGUAAUUGAUUUGAAUGUUCAUGAAACAGUGCCUCCAGUAUGUUUUGUUUCACUUAAACUUUGAUGACACUUGAGAAGUUGCCUUGCCUUACCUAUCUGCCACCCCACCACUCCUCAGCAUCCGAUAGGCUGCUGUUCCUGUGCCAUCACUGUUGUUUGUCUGAAAGCCUUUUAAUUCGCUGUGGGUGAAGUUGAAUAGGAG
rnacentral:lncRNA from 1 species